rnacentral:rRNA from 1 species
UACGUAGGGUGCAAGCGUUGUCCGGAAUUAUUGGGCGUAAAGAGCUCGUAGGCGGUCUGUUGCGUCGGGAGUGAAAACUCAGGGCUUAACCCUGAGCCUGCUUCCGAUACGGGCAGACUAGAGGUAUGCAGGGGAGAACGGAAUUCCUGGUGUAGCGGUGAAAUGCGCAGAUAUCAGGAGUAACACCGGUGGCGAAGGCGGGUCUCUGGGCAGUAACUGACGCUGAGGAGCGAAAGCGUGGGGAGCGAACAGG